rnacentral:rRNA from 1 species
UACGUAGGCAGCAAGCGUUGUUCGGAAUUACUGGGCGUAAAGAGUGUGUAGGCGGUGCUCCAAGUCUGGUGUGAAAUCUCCCGGCUUAACUGGGAGGGUGCAUUAGAAACUGGAAUGCUAGAGGAUGGGAGAGGUAAGCGGAAUUCCUGGUGUAGCGGUGAAAUGCGUAGAUAUCAGGAGGAACACCGGUGGUGUAAACGGCUUUCUGGACCAUAACUGACGCUGAGGCACGAAAGCGUGGGUAGCAAACAGG